rnacentral:rRNA from 1 species
AACGCUGGCGGCAUGCCUUACACAUGCAAGUCGAACGGCAGCACGGGUGCUUGCACCUGGUGGCGAGUGGCGAACGGGUGAGUAAUGCAUCGGAACGUGCCUAUUAGUGGGGAUAACGCUUCGAAAGGAGUGCUAAUACCGCAUAAUCUCUGAGGAGGAAAGCAGGGGACCUUCGGGCCUUGCGCUGAUAGAGCGGCCGAUGUCGGAUUAGCUAGUUGGUGAGGUAAAGGCUCACCAAGGCGACGAUCCGUAGCGGGUCUGAGAGGAUGAUCCGCCACACUGGGACUGAGACACGGCCCAGACUCCUACGGGAGGCAGCAGUGGGGAAUUUUGGACAAUGGGCGCAAGCCUGAUCCAGCCAUGCCGCGUGAGUGAAGAAGGCCUUCGGGUUGUAAAGCUCUUUUGUCCGGGAGCAAGUCCUACUGGCUAAUAUCUGGUGGGGAUGAGAGUACUGGAAGAAUAAGCACCGGCUAACUACGUG